GCAUAUGCGGGCCGGCCCGCAGAUGCCACACAUCGCAGCGAGCCAGGAACGCCCGAGCCUUCUUCCUCCUUCGGCUCCCCGGCUCCCCCACUGGAGCGCCGCCACGGCCACCAUGGCCGCCAUUCCUCCUCCGGCUCCGGGGGCCUCUCACGCUCCUUCGACUCCUUUACCACCUCCAGGGCCCCCCAUCUUGGCGAAUUCCUUGGCCCCUUCCUCGAUUCUCUCUCUCCAGUCAACAUCCCCCAAGGCCAGCGACGGGAAGCCGCGGGCUAGGCCAGCAACGGCGCCAAGCAAACUAGGUUUAGAUGGCGGAGAACCACCUCCUGGAACGGACGGCGUGGGGAGGGUGGGCAGCCAAGAGAUCGAUGGCGGCGAACCAGAGCGUGGCAAGGACGGCGGCGGUGAUGCCCAGAUGCGUAUAGACGUGGGCGGCGGGAAGCGGCCGCAGAGCAAGAAGCCUAACGGGAGCUCCCUCGUCCCCACCAUCAUCAAGGUAAGGGUUGGGACCCUAGUUCCCUUCGCUCAAGGCAAAUCUGGGCCAUCGAAUGCCUCACUGCUAAGCAUUCCCAUCUUUGAGGGUUCCAAUGUCGUUGGGAGGAGUAAUUUGGUGGUUGUCGACAAGAGGGUCAGCCGCAAGCAUUUGAGUCUGCGCGCCUUGGCGGAUGGCUCCGUCGAAGUUGUCGUGGAGGGGCCAAAUCCCAUUGUUGUCCGGUCAGACGGGCAGGCGAGAAAGGUUUGUGCUCAGGGUAGAGCCAAGAUUAUCUAUGAUGAUGUCCUGGAGCUUAUUCCCGGCGAUUAUCUUAUGAAGUAUGUGGCUAUGAGUGAUGAGCGUAAAAGCUCCGCUUCAGUGGAUUCAAAUGACUUAAAGAAGGGAAAGAGGCAUAGCGAGGAAGAUAGCGUAGUUGCAAAGAGGAAUCGGCAAGUCAUGGAAGAUGAGGCUUUGGCAAGAACAUUGCAGGAAAGUUUUGCAGAAGAGGGUACAUCUGUUCCUGGCAUGGCUUGUGGUCAAGCAUUAAGUUCACUUGAUAGUGCUGGUUCUUCUGAGAGAAAUAACAAGAGAACGCAUUCUGCCGGUCCUUUGAAAGAUGUACUCCCAUUGACUUUUCGACUCAUGCGUGUCCAAGGUCUUCCUUCAUGGACUAACAGUUCCGCAGUUACCAUUCAGGAUGUCAUUCAGGGUGAUGUGCUUUUUGCUGUACUCUCAAAUUAUAUGGUCGACAUUGAUUGGUUGCUUACCGCAUGUCCAAGUCUAAGGAAAGUUCCACAUGUCCUAGUUCUCCAUGGAGAGGAUGGUGCUUCAUUGGAGCAUUUGAAGAAAUCAAAGCCUGCUAAUUGGAUCCUUCACAAGCCUCCGCUCCCAAUUUCAUUUGGAACACAUCAUUCAAAGGCCAUGCUGCUUGUAUAUCCUCAAGGGAUUCGUGUUGUUGUUCACACUGCAAAUUUGAUACAUGUUGACUGGAAUAACAAAAGUCAGGGACUAUGGACGCAAGAUUUUCCCUGGAAAGAUGCAAAUGAUAUGAAUACAAAUAUUUCUUUUGAGAAUGACCUGGUUGAUUAUCUCAGGGCACUUAAGUGGCCUGAGUUCAGGUUAAAUCUCCCAGUUGCUGGUGAUGUCAACAUCAAUGCAGCAUUCUUUAGGAAAUUUGAUUAUAGUAGCUCAACGGUCAGGUUGAUCGGGUCUGUUCCUGGUUAUCACGUGGGCCCCAAUAUGAAAAGGUGGGGCCAUAUGAAGCUUAGGAGUGUUCUUGAAGAGUGUGUAUUUGAAAAGCAAUUUUGUAAGUCACCACUUAUUUAUCAGUUUUCUUCCUUGGGUUCACUUGAUGAGAAAUGGAUGAGUGAGUUUGCAUGCUCGUUAUCAGCUGGUAAAGCAGAGGAUGGAUCACCGUUGGGUAUCGGUAAACCACUGAUUGUCUGGCCUACAGUGGAGGAUGUUAGGUGUUCAAUAGAGGGGUAUGCAGCUGGUAGUUGCAUUCCAAGUCCUCAGAAGAAUGUUGAGAAAGAUUUCUUGAGAAAAUAUUGGUCCAGGUGGAAAGCAGACCAUGUAGGCCGUUGGUAUGCUCUCUUUUCCUGCAGCUAAAGCUAUCAUGUUGGUCCAAUGAAAUUUUAGUGUUUACGAAUCCAGUAGGAUGUCAUGUACCGGUUAUUGACCCAUUCUGCAAAUUAUCUGCUCCAUACUAUAGAUUCAUUUAGUUUUCAGAACAGCGCAGUAGGUUAUGUAGCUAAUCCCUUAUGUGUUGUAUACUUGCCAUAUGUCACAAGAAGAUUUGCUUGGGCUGUUUAGUUUUCUCCCAUGGUAGCCAUGAUUGGAAGAUUUGUAACUUGGCACUUGGCAAUAUAGCACUUGAAGAGAAAGCUUUCUAUUCCAUAUUUCCAAGUAAUGGAGUAUUAUGAGUAAUAGAGCUAAAGGAUGGAGAUGAGUUUCUUUUUAUCCUGCAAUAUUCUGUCAUUACACCUAAAGCAAGAAGAUUGAUCUACAUGGCAUGCCUGUGGCUUUGUGGUGUAGAGACUUACUAGUUUCAUUGCAUCUGGAGUGCUUGGCAAAAUAAGGUCUUAAAAAUCCUCUACCAGGUGGAUUUUGCUUUAGUUGCAAUGAAUGAUCCCAUUAUAACCUGAAAAAUACAACUUCUUUGUAGUAUUAUUAGUAUGUAAUAUAAUCAUUAUGACUAUAUAUUCUGGACUACUCAGUUCAAGUAAACAUCUUUAGUUGAUAUCGACAUCGACUGCAAAAGAUUGGCAUCCUUACUUUCUGAAUCUUUCAGUUUUUCUUCUUUUGAACCAAGUUCUUUUACUACUGACUGAAACUGAUAUUCUCAUCUUGAUUUUUGUAUCAGCCGUGCUAUGCCUCACAUAAAAACUUUCACUCGUUACAAUGGUCAAAAUAUUGCAUGGUUUCUGCUUACCUCAUCAAAUUUAAGCAAAGCUGCUUGGGGUGCACUGCAGAAGAACAACACGCAGCUGAUGAUACGGUCAUAUGAG